CCAGGAGUUAGUAAUGGACAGGGAAGCCUGGUGUGCUGCAGUCCAUGGGGAUGCAAAGAGUUGGACGUGACUGAGUGACUGAACCAAACUGAACUGAAUGGAGAGGGAGGAAGAAGAAAGUCUAGAAGAUAAACAAAAAACACUCUAUUAAACAUUGUCACAUCCAGCUGUCUGCAUAGGGGGAUCUGUACAGAGGUACAAUAGAUUUCUCCAUUAGUCAUUCAGGCUGCUUUGUCCAUGUCACUGUGACCUUGCAGAGAACACAGUAUCCUUGGAGACUUUAAAGUCAUGUUCUAGGUGAACCUCAUAAAGUACAUUAAGUCUAUAAUUCUGCCCUGUAUAAAAGACUGUGAGUUUACUAAAAGAUAAUUUAAAAAGGCUUUUUGUUGUUAUUGUUGUUGUUAUCUAGAUUAAAGUACACAUUAGGAUUUGGUAACUCUUGCUUGUAUCAACGUCACUAGAUUUAUAGUAUCAAUAACUUACUACAAAUAAAUAGAGAUAGUUCAGUAUUUUUUGAUAGUCCUUUUAAUUUUAGGCAGAAAGACAAUAUGGAGAAGUAAAUAGUGUUGACAAGCAAGAUCCUUCAUUUCCAGGUUAUCCUUAGUCAGGCAGUUUUGACUUGUUUCUAAAAAAAUAAGAAUAAAUAUCAUUUUUCAUAAGGA